CAGGAAGGAGUCCCUGCUUCCCCAACUGCAGCACAGCAUGGACAGUAUCCACUCCUCCUCCAGUCCAAGCUGACUGUAAGUGAGAGAGUGUGUGCUGUGUGUAACUGUGAUUGUGACUGUCUUUGACUGUGUGUGUGAGCGUGUGACUAUCUGUGACUGUGUGAGUGACUGUCUGCCUGUGAUUGUCUGUGUGACUCUGUGUGUGUGACUGUCUGUCUGUGACUGUGUGUGUGUGUGUGUGUGACUGUCUGUCUGUGACUGUGUGUGUGUGUGUGUAUGUGUGACUGUCUGCCUGUAAUUGUGUGUGUGUAACUGUCUGCCUGUGAUUGUGUGUGCAUGUGUGACUGUGUGACUGCCUGUCUAUGAUUGUGUUUGUGUAUAUCUGUGAUUAUGUGAGUGAUUGUGUGUAUCUCUGUGUAUGUGUUUAGUAGAUAGCUCCCUUAUUUGGUGACUGUCUGUGACUGUGUGUGUGACUGCCUGUGUGUGUGUGUGUGUGUGAGAAACCGUCUGCCUGUGAUGGUGUGUGUGUGUGACUGUCUGCCUGUGAUUGUGUGUGUGUGUGUGACUGUCUGCCUAGGAUUGUGUGUGUGUGACUGUGUGUGUGUAUGUGUGACUGUUUGCCUGUGUGACUAUCUGCCUGUGAUUGCAUGCGUGCAUGUGUGUGUGUGUGACUGUCUGUGACUGUGUGUGUGUAUAUGUGACUGCGUGUUUGACUGUCUGCCUGUAAUUGUGUGUGAGUGACUGUGUGUGGGACUGUGUGCAUCUGACUGUGUCUGACGGUCUUUGCCCUGCAGUGAGACGGCAGUCGGGAUCUGGUGUCAUCGCGGCCUCGGCUUCAUUACAGGGCAUGCGAGGGACCUGUGCAGGAAGAGCACAGAGAACCCAGCAGCAACCACUGACCACCAGGGACUGAGGAUCCACUCCAGCCCUUCUAGAGCAAGGUAGGGAGGCUGGGUGGACCUCUUAUUUAUUAAAUGUGUGUAUGUAUGUAUGUAAUGUUUGUGUGUGUAUGUGAUUGUGUGUCUGUGAUUGUAUGUGUGUGGGUCUGUGAUUGUGUUUGUGUAUAUCUGUGAUUUUGUGUGUGAUUGUGUGUAUCUCUGUGUAUGUGUUUAGUAGAUAGCUCCCUUAUUUGGUGUCCUUAAAUAUUGCAAUAUAAGGAUAACAAAUAAGGGAUUUAUUUACUAAACAACUGAAAAUAAGAAAAGGGCUUUUUAAAUUUUGAUCCUUUAGCUGUUUAGUAGAUAAUUCCCUGAAUUGGUGCCCGUAUGCGAGAUUUCCAUAUUUAAAGAUACCAAAUGAGGAUGCUGUUUAGCAGAUAGUUCCCUUAUUUGGUGUCCUUAAAUAUGGCAAGCCCAAAUAAGGAUAGCAAAUAGGGGAGUUAUCUGCUAAACAAAGAUCGAAGUUAACAGGUGUCAGCCAGCCCACAACAAGAAAUCUGGGUGGCUAAUGUGAAUUAUAUGCAAAUGUGUUGUCAGAUGCCAGCAUGCAGAGCACAGUGUGUAUAUGUAUCUGCGUGUGUGUAUGUCCGUGUAUGUGUAUAUGUGCAAGCAUCUCAAAAUCUCGCCAACACUACACACAAAUACACUCAUGCAUUUCAACGUCAACAUUACAUACAAACCCCACCAUUAUAUAUAACCACAUCACUGCAUUCAAAUACCACACAACACACAAAUGCAUGCUUGCAUUCAAACACCAACACUACAUACAAACACACCCCUACAUUCACUCACACAUACUCAUAGAAACAUAGAAACAUAGAAUGUGACGGCAGAUAAGAACCAUCUGGCCCAUCAAGUCUGCCCAAUUUUCUAAAUACUUUCAUUAGUCCCUGGCCUUAUCUUAUAGUUAGGAUAGCCUUAUGCCUAUCCCACGCAUGCUUAAACUCCUUUACUGUGUUAACCUAUACCACUUCAGCUGGAAGGCUAUUCCAUGCAUCCACUACCCUCUCAGUAAAGUAAUACUUCCUGAUAUUAUUUUUAAACCUUUUCCCUCUAAUUUAAUACUAUGUCCUCUUGUUGUGCUAGUUUUUCUUCUUUUAAAUAUAGUCUCCUCCUUUACUGUGUUGAUUCCCUUUAUAUAUUUAAAUGUUUCUAUCAUAUACCCCUGUCUCGUCUUUCCUCCAAGCUAUACAUGUUAAGAUCCUUUAACAUUUCCUGGUAAGUUUUAUCCCGCAAUCCAUGAACCAGUUUAGUAGCCCUUCUCUGAACCCUCUCUAAGGUAUCAAUAUCCUUCUGAAGAUACUGUCUCCAGUACUGUGUACAAUACUCCAAGUGAGGUCUCACCAGUGUUCUGUACAAUGGCAUGAGCACUUCCCUCUUUCUACUGCUAAUACCUCUCCCUAUACAACCAAGCAUUCUGCUAGCAUUUCCUGCUGCUCUAUUACAUUGUCUGCCUACCUUUAAGUCAUCAGAAAUAAUCACCCCUAAAUCCCUUUCCUCAUAUGUUGAGGUUAGGACUCUAUCAAAUAUUCUGUACUCUGCCCUUGGGUUUUUACGUCCAAGAUGCAUUAUCUUGCACUUAUCCACAUUAAAUGUCAGUUGCCACAAUUCUGACCAUUUUUCUAGUUUACCUAAAUCAUUUGCCAUUUGGCUUAUCCCUCCUGGAACAUCAACCCUGUUACAUAUCUUAGUAUCAUCAGCAAAAAGACAUACCUUACCAUCAAGACCUUCUGCAAUAUCACUAAUACAAAUAUUAAAGAGAAUGGGUCCAAGUACAGAUCCCCGAGGUACCCCACUGGUGACAAGUCCAAGCUUCAAAUAUAUUCCAUUAACUGCAACCCUCUGUUGCCUGUCACUCAGCCACUGCCUUACCCAUUCAACAAUAUUAGAAUCCAAACUUAAAGGUUGCAGUUUAUUGAUACUCCAUACAAAAACAUGCAUACAUUCACACACAAACACUGCUCAGUGCUAAAUACAUUAAAAACAUGUUGGUUGUUUUUACAUUUAAAGUUGAGGGGGUGCCAAACAUAGGACCUGCCUCGGUUGCCAACUGCUCUUGGUACGCCCCUGGUUAAUAGUGUUUGUGUGUUAAUAGCAGUAUGUGGGUGUGUGUGUAUGGGAGUGUGUAGCUGUGUGUAAAUAGAAGUAUGUAAGUGUUUGUAUGUAUGGGAGUGUUAGCUCUGUGUAAAUGGCAGUAUACAUGUGUUUGUAUUAUGUGGGAAUAAUCAGCUAACUGGAAAUUAUACAAAAUAUACAAAACAAAAUGCAGAAUAGUGUGGGAAAUCUAAAAAAAAAGUAAAGAAAGAAUUUCUUGCUUUAAGAUGAUAAUUAGAAGAUUCUAUAUUCCCAAGAAAACAUAUAUGACCAUCACUAAUGCAGCUUUUCUUCUGGCACUAAUAAAUAUCUUCUCUUCUGCCAGAAACUCAGAAACAACUAACUUGUAUAUUUCCCCUGGCAGCCAAUAGUUCUAAGAUCCAGAGAGAGACAGCUGCACUUUAAUAAGGCUAAGGCAAUUCUCGAGUUCCGAAAUGCCUCAUUCUAUCUAUUCAUUUUUCAUUUCAAAGUUUUCUUUAAAGUUUCACUUACCUGUAGGAUGGUAAGAGCUUCGACAGUCCUCGCCAGUUGCUAAAUGCAACCUUGGCUAGGAAUUUUGAUAUUGUUCGAUAUGCUACAUGGGUACGUUGGAAAGUUAUUUGGCCCUGAAGCACAUAGUGUUUAGAUCUUGAGAAAUUAAGAAAUAAGAAAAAAUAUAUUAUUAUUAUUUGUUGAGAAAAUGUUUUACUAGGAAAAACUACACUCAAACGGUAUUAUCUUGAUACAAGGAUAAUUCUUUUACAUCUACAGAACAUAGACAACAAUUAGCAGCCGAGCAAUGUUUGGUUUAUUUGGAGACAGUGUUAUUUUCAAAGAUUUCAGAUUUCUGGACGAUUUGAC